CAGAUGUGCAUCUACGACUGUCUUAGUACAUUAUGGGAAAAUUGCUAUAACCGUUCACAUCCGCGGACGUUCUUUACAAUCGAAGAAGCGUGCUCGUUUCGUGAACCAGGAAUGCCUAAUAUAGAGUGCAAUUCCGAGGGAGAAAGACGUAAAUUAAUGGAGAACUGUACAUCAAGCUGCAAAGUUGCUUGCAAGGAGAGAAGGUAUACAAUCAGAGUUCAAGAUAGGCCGUUUCAAGAUUGG